GCUCAGAUUGAACGCUGGCGGCAGGCCUAACACAUGCAAGUCGAGCGGAAACGAUCCUAGCUUGCUAGGAGGCGUCGAGCGGCGGACGGGUGAGUAAUGCAUAGGAAUCUGCCCGGUAGUGGGGGAUAACUUGAGGAAACUCAAGCUAAUACCGCAUACGCCCCAAGGGGGAAAGCAGGGGAUCUUCGGACCUUGCGCUAUCGGAUGAGCCUAUGUCGGAUUAGCUAGUUGGUGAGGUAAUGGCUCACCAAGGCCGCGAUCCGUAGCUGGUCUGAGAGGAUGAUCAGCCACAUCGGGACUGAGACACGGCCCGAACUCCUACGGGAGGCAGCAGUGGGGAAUAUUGGACAAUGGGCGAAAGCCUGAUCCAGCCAUGCCGCGUGUGUGAAGAAGGCCUUCGGGUUGUAAAGCACUUUCAGCGAGGAAGAACGCUUGUGGGUUA
rnacentral:rRNA from 1 species